UACAGAGGUCCCAAGCGUUGUUCGGAUUCAUUGGGCGUAAAGGGUGCGUAGGCGGCGCGGUAAGUCGGGUGUGAAAUCUCGGAGCUUAACUCCGAAACUGCAUUCGAUACUGCCGUGCUUGAGGACUGGAGAGGAGACUGGAAUUUACGGUGUAGCGGUGAAAUGCGUAGAUAUCAUAAGGAAGACCAGUGGCGAAGGCGGGUCUCUGGACAGUUCCUGACGCUGAGGCACGAAGGCCAGGGGGAGCAAACGGG
rnacentral:rRNA from 1 species